UUUAAAAGAAUUGUGUGUGUUGCAAUUAUUCAUCUUUUACCAUUCGCAUUCGGUUUUCUUGCAUCGUGAGUAGUUUGGUUAUUGGGUGGGUUCUUGGCACUUAUGAUUUGGUAAUUAAAUUGCAUAGGUUAUUAUUAAAAACUUGUCUUUGAUUAUCAAUCAAACUAAACUGUUAACAAGACCUUUUGGUAUCUAUCUAAUUAAACAGGUUUGGGUGAAUCAUUGAACCGGAAAUCCGGAGGGGGUUGAUUUUCUUUAAAAUUGAUAACUUUCUUAAUUAUUCUCAAUCAAAAAUCUCAAAACGCAAUCAAAGCAAUAGUUUUUCUUAGUUCUAGACCAAAUUUUAAACUUGUUUUUGACCGAACUUUCGACAUCGAUCAAAAUGGCGCCGCUGCCGGGGAAUUGGUUUCUACAAUCAACACUAACCACAUAUUCCCUGUGGAGACGACCCUACUUACCCUUGCUAGUAAAGGUACUUAGGACCAAAUUUUAAACUUGUUUUUGACCGACCUUUCGACAUCGAUC
rnacentral:lncRNA from 1 species